AGGCAAUAACAGGUCUGUGAUGCCCUUAGAUGUUUUGGGCCGCACGCGCGCUACACUGAUCAAGUCAACGAGUUUAUAACCUUGGCCGGAAGGUCUGGGUAAUCUUUUGAAACUUGAUCGUGCUGGGGAUAGACCAUUGCAAUUAUUGCUCUUCAACGAGGAAUUCCUAGUAAGCGUGAGUCAUCAGCUCGCGUUGAUUACGUCCCUGCCCUUUGUACACACCGCCCGUCGCUACUACCGAUUGAAUGGCUUAGUGAGGUCUUUCGGAUGGAUUCUGGCAGCCGGCAACAGCAUCUA
rnacentral:rRNA from 1 species